UGGCCCUCUGCUAUAAAGAAAUUUGAGAUGUGAGAUUAAUGAGUAGAUUUUUUUAGUUUAUUAAUUAAACAUUUUCUGACCUCACCAGAUUGGAUGGAUCUAUGGUUCUGUGACUGAAGAUAUUUUGACUGGGUUUAAGAUGCAUGCUCGUGGUUGGAUUUCCGUCUAUUGCAUGCCACCUCGCCCAGCAUUUAAGGGUUCUGCUCCCAUCAAUCUUUCUGACCGUCUCAAUCAGGUGCUUCGGUGGGCCUUGGGUUCAAUUGAGAUAUUCCUGAGCAGACAUUGCCCCUUGUGGUAUGGCUACCAUGGGAAGUUGAGAUCUCUGCAGAGACUUGCUUAUAUUAACACCAUUAUCUACCCCCUUACCUCAAUCCCAUUGAUUGCUUACUGUAUUCUUCCUGCAUUUUGUCUUGUCACAAAUAAGUUCAUUAUUCCCGAGGCAAGUAUUUUUCCUCUAUCUCAUUUUUCUGAUAAGCUUUUAUCAUUUAUGUUGUGUUCCAGCUGAUAACAUUAACAUUUGGUUAAUUUUAUUUCUUUUACUCUUCACAGCUUUGGCUAAAUUUCAUUUCUUUUUUGUACCUGUCAGAUCAACUUGAAAGGUCUUGAUGGUAUUCAGGGCCCAGUCUAUGUGGGAACUGGUUGCUGUUUCAAUAGGAAGGCUUUAUAUGGUUAUGAUCCUGUUUUGACUGAGGAAGAUUUGGAGCCUAACAUUAUUGUGAAGAGUUGUUGUGGUUCUACUAGAAAGAAGGGAAGGGGUGGCAAGAAGAACACUGACAAGAGGGGACUUAAAAGAACAGAAUCGACCACACCUAUCUUUAAUAUGGAGGACAUAGAGGAGGGAGUUGAAGGUAUGCUAAUAUGAUAAUUGUUAUCUUAACUCUAAUUUAAGUUGCUUAUGCAUGUAGAAUUUCAUAUGUUGAAUUUCAUGCAAUUUCAUUUUACCCCCUAUCCCACUGAUCAGCUUCACAAGUAAUUUAUACUAGUUUGCCAUAGUUUGUUUGCCAGAUAUCUAGGCAUGAUUGUCUGAAAGAUGAGAUGACAAUGUUGUUUCCUUCAUGAUAUCUAAUGCAUUCUUUUGCAGGGUAUGAUGAUGAAAGGUUACUUCUUAUGUCUCAAAAGAGCUUAGAGAAGCGUUUUGGUCAGUCUCCAGUUUUUGUUGCUGCUACCUUUAUGGAACAGGGUGGCAUUCCACCUUCAACCAACCCUGCAACUCUUCUUAAGGAAGCAAUCCAUGUUAUCAGUUGUGGUUAUGAAGACAAGACGGAAUGGGGAAAAGAGGUGAAUAUGUCUACUUAUCAUUGUGCUUUUGAUUCUGGCCCUCUGCUAUAAAGAAAUUUGAGAUGUGAGAUUAAUGAGUAGAUUUUUUUAGUUUAUUAAUUAAACAUUUUCUGACCUCACCAGAUUGGAUGGAUCUAUGGUUCUGUGACUGAAGAUAUUUUGACUGGGUUUAAGAUGCAUGCUCGUGGUUGGAUUUCCGUCUAUUGCAUGCCACCUCGCCCAGCAUUUAAGGGUUCUGCUCCCAUCAAUCUUUCUGACCGUCUCAAUCAGGUGCUUCGGUGGGCCUUGGGUUCAAUUGAGAUAUUCCUGAGCAGACAUUGCCCCUUGUGGUAUGGCUACCAUGGGAAGUUGAGAUCUCUGCAGAGACUUGCUUAUAUUAACACCAUUAUCUACCCCCUUACCUCAAUCCCAUUGAUUGCUUACUGUAUUCUUCCUGCAUUUUGUCUUGUCACAAAUAAGUUCAUUAUUCCCGAGGCAAGUAUUUUUCCUCUAUCUCAUUUUUCUGAUAAGCUUUUAUCAUUUAUGUUGUGUUCCAGCUGAUAACAUUAACAUUUGGUUAAUUUUAUGC
rnacentral:lncRNA from 1 species